rnacentral:misc_RNA from 1 species
GUCUUUUUUGCCAACAUGAUAUAACAGUCAAACACAGCAAGCGUGAAUGUCUCAGGACUCGGCCUACCACCCCAAAGGGUACUACGCCGAGCCCGAGUCAAUGUGGGGGAGGGGGACUGCGCCAUGUUACUGCCGCGAGUCCCGACUACCACCAUCCAUGAUUUGUUAAUGAUCCUUCCGCAGGUUCACCUACGGAAA